GAAACGCUGGUGCACGCUCGGUGAGGCCUCGACUCGAACGCCCGGCGCCGAGCCUUCUUCCCGCCCUCCUCUUCCCUCGCGCCGCCCACGGUUGGCGUGUCCCGCUUCCACCGUCCUCUGAGGAGCAACAUGAGCGCCUCUACCGAAGCAGCGCCGGAUCCCGCCGGAGACCCCGCUUCUCCCUUGCCGGGCGUUGGCGAGGGUAAUCCCCCGGGGGUCGACGUGGUGGAGCAGUACGUGGUGCUCCGGCGCGACCUGAUUGACACGUGGCCGCUCGGGAGCGUCGUUGCCCAGGGCUGCCGCCACCACCCCGACGUCCUUGCCUACUUCUCCGACCGCAACCUUGAUUCCAUGCACAAGAUGAAGGGAGAGACACAAUUGAGGAACCUGGUGAACAAGCUGAAGAAGGAAGGGAUCGACCACAAGCUGUGGCUAGAGCAACCGGAGGACUUCCUUACUUGCAUCGCAACCCGGCCGUACCCCAAGUCUCAGAUACAAUGUUUCGCUUGAUUAAAUGGAAAACAGAAACAGCACUAUAUGUGAAGAUGAGCCAUAAUCGAACGAUUCAGGUUAACCCUCGAAGGCCCCGUGGAGCAUCAGCCGUCGGAUGAGUCCCGAUCUCCCUUCAGAAACCACAACGCCAAGAGCAAAACCCCCCAUUGGCAACGCUUUCGCCUACCCAAACCCGAAGAGAGCAGAGAGAAGAACAUGAAACAAGAGGAGAAACAGCUAUCAGUUUACACGACAUUCUUAUUAUACCCGGUGAUUCCGCGCUACGCCGUUAUCAUGCAUCUUCAUCCUCUUUCCACUGUCUAAGACCUCAUCAAAGG